UAAGCGGAGGAAAAGAAACCAACAGGGAUUGCCCCAGUAACGGCGAGUGAAGCGGCAACAGCUCAAAUUUGAAAUCUGGCCCCAGGCCCGAGUUGUAAUUUGCAGAGGAUGCUUUUGGCGCGGUGCCUUCCGAGUUCCCUGGAACGGGACGCCAUAGAGGGUGAGAGCCCCGUACGGUUGGACACCAAGCCUUUGUAAAGCUCCUUCGACGAGUCGAGUAGUUUGGGAAUGCUGCUCUAAAUGGGAGGUACAUUUCUUCUAAAGCUAAAUAUUGGCCAGAGACCGAUAGCGCACAAGUAGAGUGAUCGAAAGAUGAAAAGCACUUUGAAAAGAGGGUUAAACAGCACGUGAAAUUGUUAAAAGGGAAGCGCUUGUGACCAGACUUGCGUCCGGUGAAUCACCCAGCUCUCGCGGCUGGGGCACUUCGCCGGCACAGGCCAGCAUCAGCUUGCCGUCGGGGACAAAAGCUUCAGGAACGUGGCUCCUCUCGGGGAGUGUUAUAGCCUGUUGCACAAUACCCUUCGGCGGGCUGAGGUACGCGCUCCGCAAGGAUGCUG
rnacentral:rRNA from 1 species